GACUGACGGAGCAAGGGAGGACGCACUGCGCAUGCGCUGCUGUCUGGCGGGCGCGCGUAAGGAAUGCGCGUGCGCGGGCGACCCGGCUGGCGGUUGCGCUGCAGCCCCACUUCUGAACUCAGCGUAGUGAGGCGUCUCCCGCCCCCCACCCGCAGCUGUGGGCUGCAGCACAGCCGGUUGGGGUGUGUCAGGUGAGCAGUGCUCCCUCCCACUCUUCAGUCGGGUCUACAAACCCCGCAGCCGGCGUGGAAUUCCUGCACUGUCAUUGCUGUCCCCCCCCCCCCAACCCCCGAUUCAGACUGAACGGCGGUCACCCGCCUACACCGACACUUCCUUCGUGCCAAGAUGGGAGCGGGCCGCCCCGCCGCAAAAGAGGCUUUGUGCAGCCCGUGUCCGGAGAGUUAGUGCGGUCCGAGAUUUCUGGGCUCUCUACUUUGCAAUCUCACGUGGCGCCGUGUUCCUCCGUCUUGACCCCACAUCUGGAGCAGAUUCUCCCAGCCCCUGAGCAGCUGCGUGACAGAAAAAGUAUUGACAGGGCUUGCUUUAAUAAUAGUGUCGAAGUUUUUGUAGGAGAUGCUCCGUGUGAGAUUUGACAAGACCCAGUAGAGAGAGACAGAGUGCGAGUGUGGAGGAACAAAGAAAAAGGGAGACACAGAACCCAAAGCAGGCUCCAGGCUCUGAGCUGUCAGUACAGAGCCCGACAUGGGGCUCAAACUCACAAACCGCGAGAUCAUGACCUGAGCUGAAGUCUGAUGCUUAACCAACUGAGCCACCCAGACCAAGGAAUUAAAAUCUCUUCUCUCUUGAUAAAGAAGUCACUCCCUUCCUGCUUUGCUCUCCCCUCUGAUUCUCCUCACCUUGUUGGAAGUGGCCCAGUUUGUUGGUCUUCUUGAUUGGCUAGAACAAAUAAUUCUAAAAUUUGUAUGGAGCCAGAAAAGACCCAAAUAGCCAAAGCAAUCUUGGCAAUCUUGAAAAAGAAAACCAAAGCAGGAGGCAUCACAAUCCCAGAAUUCAAGCUAUACUACAAAGCUGUAAUCAUCAAGACAGUAUGGUACUGGCACAAAAACAGACAUUCACAUCAAUGGAACAGAAUAGAGAACCCAGAAUUGGACUCACAAAUGUAUGGCCAACUAAUCUUUGACAAAGCAGGAAAGAUUAUUCAAUGAAAAAAGACUGUCUUUUCAGCACAUCGUGCUGGGAAAACUGGACAGCGACAUGCAAAAGAAUGAAACUGGACCACUUUCUUACACCAUACACAAAAAUAAACUCAAAUAGAUAAAAGACUUAAAUUAAGACAGGAAACCAUCAAAGUCAUAUAGGAGGAAACAGGCAGCAACCUCUUUGACAUUGGCUGCAACAGCUUCUUACUAGACAUGUCUCUGGAGGCAAGGGAAACAGAGGCAAAAAUGAACUAUUGGGACCUCAUCAAGAUAAAAAGCUUCUGCCCAGCAAAGGAAACAACAAAACUAAAAGGCAACUGACAAAAUGGGAGAAGGUAUUUGCAAAUGACAUAUUGGAUAAAGGGUUAGUAUCCAAAAUCUAUAAUUCUGUUUUUCUUUUUAGUGUGAUACAGCUAAUAUUUCUUUAUAUAUUGCCUUGCAUAAAUAAUAUCCACCAACAUAGUAAAAAUGAUGGAAAAUAAAGUUUUAACAUCCACACAUUUUGCAGGUUGGGGAUAUUAAAAUUGCUGCCAGUGUGAACCUGACUCCUCAUUCUGUUUACCUGCAGGGACAAAGGUAAUAAGGAAUCUGGGAGUAUGGCAGAGGCUGAGGUCGAGAUGGCAAGCAUGUUCUUCUAUGUUUCUUAAGUUCAGCCUGGCCAUCAGGGAACCUUUGGUCCCCAAGUGACCUGGGUGAAUAGCAUCCAAGUGGUCAACUUUGAGCAUGAAAGUGUAAAGGAUUUUGCCUGUUCCCAACUGAGGGAGAGAAAGAUCAGAAGUACAUUUCACUUGCAUGUACUUGAAUAAAUGAAUGUGACCAAAAAACAAAGCACAAAAAAGAACAAAAAUAUUAAAUAAUGUAGCCAACUAUGCCUGAUGAUCUGGACAGGAAGCAGAUGCCCUGGAAUGAGAGAGAAGUGACUGAUCUCCCAGUCAGUCUUGGUCCUUGUCUCUCAGAGUGCUGGAGCAAAUGUGUGCACCUCUUCCCAACUCUGUGUUCAGUGACAAUCACGUUGGUGGCCUGAAAUUGGCUGUGCAUCUGCACCAUGGAUAUAAGCAAGUGCUACAAAUGGGGAUGCUCUGUUUCAGACAGUUGGUUGACCAGUUCGUCACUGCCUAACCUGCCUCCUGUAGUGGGGACACCUGGACACACUGAAGGUGCUUCUGGCAUCUAAAGAAUGCUGGAUAUAAAUCAAAGACUUGGAAUAAUCCAAGAAGCAUUUAUCCAAGAAAAGUUGCUGAAUCAAGGUAAGAACAAUGAACUUUGGGGCAUUUUAUUUUACCCUAUUUACAUCUCCCUCUUCCCACAUGAAGAAACAAAGAUCCCACUGGCAAAGGUAACAACACAUAGGUAAAUAUAAAAGACUGUAUAAAUGUAACUUUUGUUUGAAGCCCUUUUCUUCUGCCAUCUAAUUUAAAAGACAACUGCAUAAAGCAAUACUUAUAAAUACAGGUCAUUGGGCAUAUAAUGUAAAACAAGGUAUUUGUAUGUCAAUAAUAGCACAGGGGAGGUGGGAGAGAAUGAACUUAUAUAGGAGAAACGUUUCUGUAUACU